rnacentral:lncRNA from 1 species
GGGAAGCUUGUCUUAACAAAAAACGAGAAGCAGAACGAAAACAAGCAGAAGCUGAGAAAGAUGUAGAAGAGGUAAGGAAGAAGAAAAAAGAGAGAAAGAUACAAGAAGCUUCGAAAAAAGAAGAAAGAAGAAGUGAAGAAAAAGAAAGAGAAGAAGAAGAGGAAUAGGGGAGAGAAGAAGAAAGGGGAAAAGAAAGUGAAGAGGAACAAAGAAAAGGAAAUGGUAAAGAAAAAGGAGUAGGCACGGUCUUUCCUACCGA